rnacentral:sRNA from 12 species
UGGCGUUGAAGCAAUUGGCGGGGUCAGUUGGUAUUACCUUCCGUUGAUUGUGGAGCCUGACCAAGGGUUUCGUGGCAUCCACGGACUGACUAGGCAAAAGCCGAAAGAAAACCACGAUAA